rnacentral:lncRNA from 1 species
AAGCUGCUAGAGGGAGCGGCGGGCAGCGGACGGCGGGAAAAGGAGACUUACCUCGGUAUUCCUCCAUACGCCCCCCUUGAUCAUAAUUCGAGGCAUCUUGGCGGCAGGGUGUCUCGGCAAGCAGCCGAGAGGAGCUUCAGAGAAGUAGUAACAGCGAUUGGGCCACCGGACUCAAAGCCGCCACUUCCUCCAAGCGCGACCUUCUGCUUUGAAGAUCUGCGCAAGCGCAAGGUGGGAGGGGGCGCAGAAUAGCAAGUCUCGCGAGAUAUUGGGUGGCUGAAAGGGAAAAAGUGUCUUGUGGAAGCUCAGCUGCAGGAAGACUAACACAAAACCAUCAAACCACUCUGGCCAAAGCGCCUUACGCCCCGCGCAUGUCCAAAACAGAAUGGAAGAAACUACGGCUCUCGCGAGAUAGCGGCGGUAGCGCUUGGCUGGGAACUUAGUGGUGGGAUUGAUCGUGACGUCACCGAGUGGCAGAGGGUGGGAACGUCACGCGUACGGAAUUUCAGCACAGUUGCUCCGAAGAAGGCUUUGUUAAUUUAUUAAUCUAGCCCUUUCAAGUAUUUCAGUAAUAGGAAUUUAUUCACAGAAUACUCAGGAAAAUCCAGUAGUUUAUUUAAGGCUCAGUUUCCUAACCUGUAAAAUAGAGAUCAUAGUAAUGCCAACCUCACAGGAUUGUCGUAAGGGCUAAAUGAGAUCAUAGACCCAGCACAGUAUCUGAUCCAUAAUAACUGCUGCAAAACAAUAGCAGCUAUUACUGCAAGGAGGGCAACGCCAACUUCACCCCGUCCCCAGGUGAUCCAGGCUUCUUCCAGAAACCUGCAGAAACGUCACGUCAGAGUUUUUAAUUCAUCGCCCAGUCUGGAUUAAUAAUGCCAUUGGUACGCACUGGUAUUAGACAAAGUCGAGUUGGGUUGAAAUAUUGUGAAAUCUUGGCUUUCUCAUAAGUUUGGGUAAUAACCUUACUGAAUCUCAG